rnacentral:lncRNA from 1 species
AGCGUCUAGCCAUGGGUGAUCCAGAGCGACUAUCUCUUCCUCCCUGAAAAGGAAGAGAGAGGAGUUAGGACGAGAGUGCCGCAGGGUCCUCCCACACCAGCAUCCCCUCUUCUGUGGUCCCGGGUGGAUGCUGAGCCAUUGGGUGUCUCUCUCAUCUGCUAAUAGAAAUGGCACCCCGGAGAGCUGGUCUUUUCAUUCCAUUUCUCCCGACCUCCCUCAGCAAAUGCUAAUUGAAUUUCCAGUUCUGUGAGAGAGAACUGGAAUCGGAUUCCCAGGCCCCAGGGAGUGGUGCCUGGCAUAACCACUGCUCUGCAAAACAACGCUGCACUUCUGUGGGUGAAAGUGCAGCCGCUCCAUUGCUUUGCUUUGAAUGAGCACUUUUUCUCGUCAGCUAGAGGUGCCAGGGCAGCCGAGGGGAACUGCCAGCGACAACAGGAGCAACUUCUUUUUCGGCGGGACCCUAGCACACCCCUUGCUACACGCGCCAGCAAAGAGCAAAGCCACGUGUCCAUCCCUGGGGACGUCCCUCCUAUGUGCCAUCUCAUCUGCCACACCAGACAAAUCAAAUGCACAGAGAGCUUUGUCUGCAAACUUUGACUUGAAGGGGUCUUAAAACCAUGCAUUUACACGUUUGGGGGACAAAUAAUUUCGAUGUUUAAAAGAGAGUUGGCAGCUAAUUGAGAUGGUGCACAGGUGUGCUGUGGCCCACGGUGUGGAGGUAGCCAGGCGUGGCCAUCCCUCUAGAAAGAGGAAUGCGUUGGUCACUCAGAAUGUCACUUAGAUCGACGAAGCAGAACUGCACUUUUUUUGCAUUCAAAUUUUUAUUCAAAGUUUAGUCUCUCUCCUUGGGUUUCCCCUCUUUUAUGAAAUGAUCAAUUUUGGCGAAGAGCCCCCAGAAAGCAAGAUAGAAAAGAAAUAUGCUCUUUACCGUGGCCGAUCAGCAACGAACCAACACUGUCCUCAUCUAAUUCUACGUCUUCCACACUGCCCAGUAACACAAAUAACCAGAGCGCAGACGCCAAGAAUCCUUCCAAGUAACGCAGCUAACAGACCAAGGUGACAGUUCUGACUUCUUGGGGGGUUUUCCAAGUACAUACGUAGCAUUAUAAACAAGCCUCUAUGUUGUGCUUACACAACUCACUCAAGGGAUUUUUGUUUUCACAAGUGAAAACGUUUAUGAAAUGCUAGCCUGCGAAGCCGCUUCAGGAACCAUCUAGUGAGAUUUCCCUCCCAAGACAGGCAGCUUUCUCACAUACCGUGGAGGCCUCCUGCCGGCCUGGGGACUGACAGGUGCAGGGCCCUGCCCCUCGAGGGCCAGCCUCUCCCUCGGGAGCGUGGGUUUUUCCUGUUUGAUCCUGGCUUAACUUGAACAUCUCUGGCAUUGGAGCUGCCCUCUGGAGUAGCCCAGAAGUUGGCACUCACCUCACCUUUUGCUGCAUUUCCAAGAGAUCAGCCUUUGGACUUCCUGGAAAGUGGUAGAACCACUGUCCUAUGAAACAAAGUGCUUCUGUGCUGAAAUGGAGUAAGUUCCCUGCAGCCUCUGGCAAGGUAACCUACCGAGCACCUCCUGGAGUAGGUGUUCCUAUCAUCCUCUCUUUAUAGCUCAGGAGCCAAAGCUCAGCCAGCCCGAAGGAGCCAGGAUUAGAGCCUGCAUGGAUGCAACAGUCACGCUUCUCUCUAUUACGUGUCUUGCAACUUGGAGUCACAUGAUCUCAGCAUCUGAUCCACCCUGGGCUCAGAACCUCCCAGAACCUCCCAGAAUCGAGGCUCACGGCAGAGGUUCUGCACUCACCAAGGACGCGGGGGGACCAUGUCUGUGCUCAUGUGGAUCCCCGCUGCUGGGCAGAGCACACCACACAUCCAGACUCAACAAAAUACAUGGAGUCAAAGGUCAGGUGACUGAAUCAAUGAGUAUGUUACACACCAAGAAAGACCCCUCCUCUCUGCACCCCGGGGAGCAGCCCCAGAAGCCUGGUCUCCUCCAGGAUGAAAAUGCAAACGCAGGUGCCUGGGGGCUCCCAGAGCCUUUGGCUUCACGGUUCCCUCCCGGCCCUGCCUGGAGCUUCAUGUGCCUCCCCUUUUGCUUAAUGAGAGC